rnacentral:sRNA from 1 species
GCUGGGCACGGUGGCUCGUGCCUGUCAUCCCAGCCACUGGGGAGGCUGAAACAGGAGGAUUGCAAAUUCAAAGCCAGCCUCAGCAAUGGCAAGGCACUAAGCAACUCAGUGAGACCCUGUCUCUA